CCUGCAUGAAGUUGGAAUCGCUAGUAAUCGCGGAUCAGCAUGCCGCGGUGAAUACGUUCCCGGGCCUUGUACACACCGCCCGUCACACCAUGAGGGUCGGGAACACCCGAAGUCCGUAGCCUAACCGCAAGGGGGCGCGGCCGAAGGUGGGUUCGAUAAUUGGGGUGAAGUCGUAACAAGGUAAC
rnacentral:rRNA from 1 species